rnacentral:rRNA from 1 species
CGGGGUGAGUAAUGCCUAGGAAUCUGCCUGGUAGUGGGGGACGAACGUUUCGAAAGGAACGCUAAUACCGCAUACGUCCUACGGGAGAAAGCAGGGGACCUUCGGGCCUUGCGCUAUCAGAUGAGCCUAGGUCGGAUUAGCUAGUUGGUGAGGUAAUGGCUCACCAAGGCGACGAUCCGUAACUGGUCUGAGAGGAUGAUCAGUCACACUGNAACUGAGACACGGUCCAGACUCCUACGGGAGGCAGCAGUG